rnacentral:rRNA from 1 species
AUUGAACGCUGGCGGCAGGCCUAACACAUGCAAGUCGAACGAGUGGCGGACGGGUGAGUAAUGUCUGGGACACUGCAUGAGGGAGGGGGAUCACUACUGGAAACGGUAGCUAAUACCGCAUACCAUCAGAUGCGCCCAGAUGGGAUUGGCUAGGUGGUGGGGUAACGGCUCACCAAGGCGACGAUCCCUAGCUGGUCUGAGAGGAUGCCCAGGCAAACUGGAACUGAGACACGGUCCAGACUCCUACGGGAGGCAGCAUUGGGGAAUAUUGCACAAUGGGCGCAAGCCUGAGGCAGCCAUGCCGCGUGUAUGAAGAAGGCCUUCUGGUUGUAAAGUACUUUCAGCGGGGAGGCGUUACCCGCAGAAGAAGCACCGGCUAACUCCGUGCCAGCCGCCGCGGUAAUUC